CCUACGGGAGGCAGCAGCAAGGGAUAUUGCGCAAUGGGCGAAAGCCUGACGCAGCGACGCCGCGUGAGGGAUGAAGGCCUUCGGGUCGUAAACCUCUUUUAUUGGUGAAGAGUAAGGACGGUAACCAAUGAAUAAGCCUCGGCUAACUACGUGCCAGCAGCCGCGGUAAU
rnacentral:rRNA from 1 species